rnacentral:tRNA from 1 species
GGUGGCUCAGUGGUGGAGCACCUGCCUUGCAUGCAUGAGGCCCUGGGUUCAAUUCCUCAGCACCA